ensembl:lncRNA
UGUAUGUGAGUUCUGUCCAUGUGUCGGUUUGCUUAGGUCUUGUUUGCGUCGCGUACAAAAAUACGUCACGGCCCUUUCGCGCAGCCGACCCCGCCCACGUCCAGGAGGUACUAUUUGCGGUGGAAAACCACCCGUGCUGCUACCGUGUCGAGUCGUGUCGUGUCGAGUCGAGUCGUGUCGUGUCGAGUCGAGCUACAUGUGCGGUGGAAAAGCGGCAAUAGACAAAUAAUCAAAUGGAUGCAGAAGAAAAGGCUUCUAAGAAGAUGGAUGAGAUGCCAAAAAUGCAAACACAAGAUGAAAUUCAAGGAAUCAGUUUGUGUAGACAACUAUGCAUGGGUUUGCAAACACCAUAACCACAGAGGGAGGAAACUGAAGAGGUCAAUUAGACACAAAUCUAUAUUCAGCAAUUCAAAGGUCUCCCUCUUCAACUGGAUGCGCUUUGUGUACAGGUACGCUAUGGCAUAGGUAUAUGAUUUUAGCCUGUCUGUCUAUGAUGAAAAGUGUUUAUUUCAAUAGAAAUACUGUAUAAUUAUGCUGUCAUAAACAAUAACUGGAGACUAUGUACUAAAGCUUGUGAUUAUUAUGUUAUGGAGCAUCUCUAGGCUCAUGAUGAUAACAGGUGUCAGGGUGUGGGUGUCUCCCUGUGUUUCCCUCCUGUGUUGAUUACUGUUCCCUCCCCUAAUGUGUCUCAGCUGUUCCUCGUUGUGUUUGUUAUUUAGGCCCUCGUCUUUCCUUUGUUCGGGGUGCUGUCAUUGUGGUUUGCUGUGGUUAGUGUUGGUUGUUAGUCCUGCGUUAUCCGUGUUCCCUCUCGAGUUCCCUGUUUUCUCCCGAGUUCCCUGAUUCCUGUGCCUUAGGCUUUAGGUUUGAUUAAAGUGCCGUUUCCCUCAAUACCAUCUGCGUUUGGGUCCUACCUGCCUGCUUGCACCUCCAGCUCUCUUAACAGAAUGACAGCACCCCUAUUGGACCCAGCGGACGCUCAAUUUAGCCGUAAGUUGGAGGAUUUACUAGCCAAAAUAAAUAAGACAAUGGAGCGCUGGGAGGGUUUGGGGUACCACCCGGUUCCUCCUGGUACUCCAGCUCCCGCACUGACUCCGGUCCCCGGGCCCUGUCCGGUUCCUGAGCCCACUCCUCGCCUUCCAGAGUGGUACCGGCCUCGUCGCCUGCUUGAGGUGGUCCGUCCUCCGCUCCUGCCUGAGGGGGCCCGCCCCCUGCUCCUUCCAGAGGGGUACCGGUCUUCGCUCCUGCCUGAGGGGUUCUGCCCCCUGCUCCUUCCAGAGGAGGACCGGCCACUGCUUCCACCGGAGGGGGUCCGCCCUCCAGACCGUCCAGGGGAGGCACGCCCUCUACCUGGCCUUCCACCAGAGGGGACCCGCCCCCUACCUGGCCUUCCACCAGAGGGGACCCGCCCUCUGCCUGGCCUUCCACCAGAGGGGACCCGCCCUCUACCCUGUCCACCAGAGGGGACCCGCCCCCUACCUGGCCUUCCACCAGAGGGGACCCGCCCUCUGCCUGGCCCUCCUCCUGAGGGGACCCGCCCUCUGCCUGGCCCUCCUCCUGAGGGGACCCGCCCUCUGCCUGGCCUGCCUCCUGAGGGGACCCGCCCUCUACCUGGCCUUCCUCUUGAGGGGACCCGCCCUCUACCUCGCCUUCGCCGGCCUCCUGAAGGGUUCCGCCUUCACCGCUGCCGGCCUUCUGAGGGGGUUCUGUGCCACUGCAGGUCUCCUGAGGGACUGAGCCCUCAUCGUCCUUGCACCCGGCCUCCUGAAGGGUUCCGCCUUCACUCUGCCUCUGCUUGCCCCCCAGGCCGUCCGCCUGAGGCUCCCUGCCAUGCCCUGGGGCAGUUUUCUGGCCGCCCGCCUGACGUCCCUCGGCUCUGCCGCAGUCCAUUUUUUUUGAUUCCCCCCUCCUGGCGCCCCUCCACCCACCCGUUUUGGGUUUGACUUUCUUUGUUUUUUGCUUGUCGUGGGUCGCCUGGGAGUCGACCCUUAAGGGGGGGGUACUGUCAGGGUGUGGGUGUCUCCCUGUGUUUCCCUCCUGUGUUGAUUACUGUUCCCUCCCCUAAUGUGUCUCAGCUGUUCCUCGUUGUGUUUGUUAUUUAGGCCCUCGUCUUUCCUUUGUUCAGGGUGCUGUCAUUGUGGUUUGCUGUGGUUAGUGUUGGUUGUUAGUCCUGCAUGUUCCGUGUUCCGUGUUCCCUCUCGAGUUCCCUGUUGUCUCCCGAGUUCCCUGAUUCCUGUGCCUUAGCCUUUAGGUUUGAUUAAAGUGCCGUUUCCCUCAAUACCGUCUGCGUUUGGGUCCUACCUGCCUGCUUGCACCUCCAGCUCCCUUAACAACAGAUUUGCACAAGGCCUGCGUCUACGUCAAGUGGACAUGAUCAAUGAUGACAUUUCUGCAAGCUCAGCAACCCUGUCCAAGAUGGCUCAAAAGCUGCGAGAUGUGUGCACUACUGCGAUGGACAGAUAUCAGCAAGCAAGAGGCCAGUACAUUGGGGGGCGGCAGCAGUUUGUCACCAUAGAUGAGAGCCACUUCAGACACAAAAGAAAGUACGGACGGGGACGAAUGGCUGGUGGCUGGAAGAAGAAGAAGUGGGUGUUUGGGAUGCUAGGUGUGAACAGGAGAGGGAGAAGACAUGCAAAGCCUGUUCUUCGCUUAGUUGAGAGAAGAAGAAGGAGAGAUCUGGUGCCACUUUAAGCUCACCAUGUUAAAGUGGGAUCUACAAUAAUAAGUGAUGAGUGGCGGGCUUAUCGCAAUGCUUUAACUCAGUUAGGUUAUACCCAUUUCACUGUCAAUCACAGUGUGUCAUAUGUCGAUGCCCAAACAGGUGCACAACUCGUACAGAGGAGUUACUGGUAGACCAUCUCAGAGUUAUUGAAUGGCAUGAGUGGCUUGCCCGAAAGCAUCGCAAAGGGCCGUUAGGACGGAUAAUCCAUGACAUUGCUGUGAUGUAUGGACAUUAAAUGUCCCUCUGAAAUUCUGUUUAUCCAGUGUUUAGCACAAAAAGUGCAGAAACCUCAUGUGUUUGUAUACUGUUGUAUACUGCUGUUCUGCCAAGUGAUGGCUCAGUAUGCGUGUUUCUAUUCAUUAAACACAAUGUUCAACAUUUCAUCUGUG